rnacentral:rRNA from 1 species
AACGAACGCUGGCGGCAUGCCUAACACAUGCAAGUCGAACGAGACCUUCGGGUCUAGUGGCGCACGGGUGCGUAACGCGUGGGAACCUGCCCUUAGGUUCGGAAUAACUCCCCGAAAGGGGUGCUAAUACCGGAUAAUGUCUUCGGACCAAAGAUUUAUCGCCUUUGGAUGGGCCCGCGUUGGAUUAGCUAGUUGGUAGGGUAAAAGCCUACCAAGGCGACGAUCCAUAGCUGGUCUGAGAGGAUGAUCAGCCACACUGGGACUGAGACACGGCCCAGACCCCCAGGGGGGGCACGGGGGGGGAAAAUUGGAAAAGGGGCAAAAGCCUGACCCGGAAAUGCCGGGUGAGUGAGGAAGGCCUUGGGGUUGAAAAGCUUUUUUCCCCGGGAUGAAAAUGACAGUACCGGGAGAAAAAGCUCCGGCUAACCCCGU